CAGAAAAAAAAAAAGGGUUUUUUUAUAGAUUUUGAGGUUGAGUAAUGGGGGCAGAUCUUGAAGACCAAAGUGAGCCGCGCUAGCCUAGCAACGUUUUUCAGCAGCAAGCUAUGGUCUAACAACCCCCUAACCUAGGUUGGGGCGAAAACUCCAAAAUCCAAAAUGUUAGUUAGGGUUUCUCUCCUUUUAGGUGGUUAGUUAGGGUUCCUCCCCUUUUAGGUGAGCUACUUCAUUCAAAACCUUUCUCUAAUAAUAAGGUAAGCUUUCAAGACAUCACCCUUUAAAGGAGUGGGCGCAGUGAACUGUAAUUGUGAAAAGAUUGGAAGAUCUGGCAAAAGAAGGUGAUAGCCCUAUAGAUUCAUUCCCAUGGUUCGAUCCUUCCCAGUAAAAUAUGGCACAUUUGAAUUCUGAUCACUUUUAUGUGAGAAAGGGGGACAACCCUCUAAGCCUAAGUAUUUCUCAAUGGCCGAUAGCAUACAAGUACCAUGAGGAAAAGGUGAAAAGAACCCUAUUUAGGGAGUGCAAUAGAGAACCUGAGAUCUGAUGCGAACAAUCAGUCGAAGGAUCAGAGCUUAGAGCCUUUACUUUAUGUAAAGCACACUCACUCUAACGGCGUACCUUUUGCAUGAUGGGUUAGCGAGGAAAUAGGAACAGCAGCUUAAGCCAUUAGGUGUAGGCGCUUUCCAGAGGUAGAAUCUUCUAGUUCUUCCAAUUUAACCCGAAACUAAUCGAUCUAGCCAUGAUCAGGUUGAAGAGAGUUCUAACAGGCCUUGGAGGACCGAACCCACGUAUGUGGCAAAAUAUGUGGAUGACUUGUGGCUAGGGAUGAAAGGCCAAACAAGAUUGGAUAUAGCUGGUUUUCCAUGAAAUCUAUUUCAGUAGAGCGUAUGAUAUCAAUGGCCUGAGGUAAAGUACUCAAUGGGAUAGGGUGGCUUUAUUUCGCCUUACCAACCCCAGGAAAACUCUAAAUACAGGCCUAGAUCAUUUGUACAGACAGACUUUUUGGGUGCUAAGAUCCAAAGUCGAGAGGGAAAUAUCCCAGAUCAUACGCUAAGGUCCCUAAGCAAUCACUUAGUGGAAAAGGAAGUGAUCGAGCGAUGACAACCAGGAGGUGGUCUUGGAAGCAGCCAUUCUUUGAAGAAAGCAUAAUAGCUCACUGGUCUAGCUCCAGGGCACCAAAAAUGUAUUAGGGCUCAAGUGAUUCACCUAAGCGACGAGACCUUGAAAGCUGCUUUUUCAAGUGUUAAUAGCAGAACGUUCUGUCAAUCGGGAAGGUUUUUGGUGACAAGUCCUAGAGAUAUCAGAAGUGAGAAUGUUGACUAGAGUAAUGAAAAAUCCUGUGAAAAACAUGAUCGCCUGCCAAUGGAAGGUUUUCUGUGUUUAGUCAAUCUACACAGAGUGAAUCGGUCCCUAAGAAACCCCUAAAAGGGCCUAGUCUGAUAGGUACACGAAAGUGACAAAGUUGCUUUGACUACAGAACCAUGUCUGUCUGUUGGAGUGAAUGGGAUGAUCAGGCUGAGGGCUGCCCCCACUUUCCCUUACUUCCUUUCUCUAAUAUAAACCUUGAGUCAUCAAAUCCUUUCUGACUUAGCCUGGCCCGGUUGCCCUAUGUGACUGUUGCUUCAAAAGGUGAAACUCUCAAUCGUAGUUUGGCGACCUAUCUUUAGUAGGGGCCUUUAGUCUUUUGAUUAGAGUAGGGGUCGUGAGAGAACAGAGCAUACCGCCCUGCCAUAGUCAUGAGUCUGUUUAAAGUCACGACUGUUGUCAUAGUCAACAAGGUUGAAACUUCCAGGAAAAAACUUUAAAUUGGAAGGGCGAUUCUCCCGGUGAACUGACCGUACCCCAAACUGACACAGGUGAACAAGUAGAGAAUACUAAGGCGCUUGAGAGAACCAUGUCGAAGGAACUCGGUAAAAUAACCCCAUAACCUCAUGAGAAGGGGUGCUUUCCUAUCUUUUGAUUAGGAAACCGGCACAUACCAAGGGGCAGCGACUAUUUAUUAAAAACACAAGACUCUGCUAAGUGGUAACAUGAUGUAUAGAGUCUGACACCUGCCCGGUGCUGGAAGGUCGGAAGGAGAAGUGUUAUAAGCUUUGAAUGGAAACCCCGAUAAAUGGCGGCAGUAACUCUAACUGUCUUAAGGUAGCAAAAUUCCUUGUCACAUAAGUAGUGACCUGCACGAAUGGUGUAACGACUGCCCCGCUAUCUCCGACAUGGACCCGAUGAAAUUAAUUCUCUGUGAAGAUGCAGAGUACCAAUGGAUAGAUGGUAAGACCUCGUGCACCUUAAUUAUAGCUUCACAGUGACAACCUUAAUCGAAUGUGUAGGAUAGGUGGGAGGUGGUGACACACAAUGACCAAUCCUGAAAGAGAACUCUUUCGUCUAAGGAUGACUAACCGCCACACCGAUCAUUCGGGGGGAAGCGAGACACUACGAGGUGGGUAGUUUAUCUGGGGCGAAUACUUACUAAAGAGUAACGAAGGUGUGCGAAGGUGUGAGAAGGUAGGCUCAAGCUAAGAUUCUGCUCGUGAGCGUAAUGGUAUAAGCCUGCCUGACUGUGAAACCGACUGGUCAAAUAGAGACAAAAGUUGGCUAUAGUGAUCUAGGAGUCCCGCAUAAAAGGGCUCUUGCUCAACGGAUCAAAGGUACGCCGGGGAUAACAGGCUGACGACUCCCAAGAGCUCUUAUCGACGGAGUCGUUUGGCACCUCGAUGUUGACUCAUCACAUCCUGGGGUUGAAAAAGGUCCCAAAGGUUUGGUUGUUCACUGAUUCAAGUGGUACGUGAGUUGGAUUUAGAAUGUCAUGAGAUAGUUUGGUUCCUAUCUACCGUUGGUGUUAAAGAGAGAACUGCGAGAAGCCAACCCUAGUACGAAAGGACUGGGUUGGGAUAACCUAUGGUGUACCAGUUGUUAUGCCAAUAGCAGCGCUAGGCAGCUAAGUCGUUAUGGAAGAACUGCUGCGCCGUAGGAAAUCCUUCUCUAUAUAAGUUCUCGGAUGAGGUUUUUUAAUAGAACUUUGAUAGGCGAGAGGUGUAAGCACUGUGAUGUGUGAAGCGAUCUCGUACUAAAUGAAACGACUUUCACUU
rnacentral:rRNA from 1 species